GUAAGUCCGGGAGGAGGAAUAAGAGGAUAGAACAUGGGGUAAAUAGAGUAGGAUUAUAAUCUUCUACAAAAUGGAGUUAUAAUUUGCUUUUAGGAUAGGAAUAUACCUAAAUACCCUAUUUGGUUCACCUAUGGGAUGAAAUAUGAAUGCAUUUAACUUAGUUCUCAUGUCCCUACUCAACUAUGUAGUUGUGGGUCUAAGUUAGAUAGAUGAUUAGAG
rnacentral:lncRNA from 1 species